UCAGAAUAGUGAUGUAAAUGAGCAGCUUGUCAUAGGUAAUGCCAAAGAGGACUACUCUGUUUUAAAGGACAAUGAGAAAACUGAAAAAAUACUACCAUGAGGAUACUACAAAUUCCAUGGAACCUUUGCUAUGAGGCAAUCUCCUUGUCAUGGGAUAUUUAGAGAAGGAAGAAAGUACCUUCCUGGGCCUCCCUGGUGGC